AUUACCGGAUGACCCCAUUGGUCGCAUGACCGGCUGAGGAAAUGGGCCUACCGCUUCGGGAGGGUCUCGCGGCCUAUCAGCUUGUUGGUGGGGUAAUGGCCUACCAAGGCAACGACGGGUAGCUGGUCUGAGAGGACGAUCAGCCACACUGGGACUGAGACACGGCCCAGACUCCUACGGGAGGCUUCAGUGGGGAAUCUUGCGCAAUGGGCGAAAGCCUGACGCAGCAACGCCGCGUGAGGGAUGAAGGUCUUCGGGUUGUAAACCUCUUUCGAGCAGGGACGAUAGUGACGGUGCCUGCAGAAGAAGCUCCGGCCAACUACGUG
rnacentral:rRNA from 1 species